rnacentral:lncRNA from 1 species
CCAGGAUUCAGUUCAGGCCAAGUGUUUUGUUUUGUUUGUUUAUCUAAGAUACGUUUUUGGAUGCUUAGCAGGAGAAAAAAAAAAACACCAACAGAACUGAUGGAUGUUAAUUCUGUUUGUUUCAGAUCUUCCUCUGGCAGCUGGAUGAGAAGGGAAUGCCACCGCGAAGGAAGGAUUACCGAGGGGAGGUUCGAGUUGUAUUGGAAGGGAACACAAGCGCCGUGCGUUACGCGUGUCACCACCACAGCAGAAUACGUUCCUUGAAGAGUUGGGCCUAGCAAUAUGGCAGCGCACAGUCGAUAAGGAAUCUUGCAAAAUGCUGCUAUUGAGGUAAUUUGGUUUCUCAUAUAUUCUCCAAUCAGUACCUUCCUUUUCCUUAUAAUUUCUUAAAAUCAUUUGAAGUACAGAAAUCUAUUGAUACAGGUCUUUAAACUCAAGAUAGAGUGUGUGUGUAUAUAAAUAUAUAUAUAUAUGUAUAUAUGUUUAUGGGCCUAAAUAGAUUGGGCUUAAAAUUGGGAGAAAGGGGUGGGGGAAAAGAAUGGGAAUUAUUUAGCAGUCGUGUUUCUUAUUUGUCUUAUUUUCGUGGUAGAAGUACGAAAUGGCUGCAAACAGUUUUUUACUCAGGCACACAAUGCAUUCCAUAAUGAUCGAUUUUCCUGGACAGGGCAUUUAUGCUUUGUGGUUUGCAAGAAUACCACCCACAGACCAAAACCAAUGUUAGGUCUUCAGAGACUUUAUUUCUCCAUGUUUCCUUCUAUAUUCCUUUGGCUAUAAAUCUAUAAAAUGCCAGUCUUUUGCUGGGUUAAUGCUAACGAAAGUGUAUUAUUUUUUUUGGCCGUCCCAGGUUCUAGUACCAAAGCCUUGUUGAUCCUGUGAUCAUUGGCAUAUUCUAAAUUUCAGAGUGAAGCAAAGUAUCCUUAGGAUAAGGAAAUCACAAUCCUUAAUGUACAGGUUAAUACUUUUUAUUUAUAAUCUUAGCAUUCUAGACAAAUACAGUGUGAAGAUGAUUGAUUUGUUUGUCUAUCAUGGAUUUUCUGCCACUGGGUAUAUAUUCAUCAGGUUUUCAAAAGGUACAAUAGCUGUAUGAUUAAUCAAUGGAGGGAAAUGUUUCAAAAGCCAGAUCUUGUAAAAUCUAUGGCUCCCAUUCACUCUCCCUGAAUAUAGUUCAUGUAAGUGAAAUUCAUCUUUAAAAAAGCAGUGCUCAUUCAAAAAAAAAACAAAACAAAACAAAACUGUGUUCAUUUGCUGCUGCCUUUAUCAGUUU